rnacentral:rRNA from 1 species
AUUGAACGCUGGCGGCAUGCUUUACACAUGCAAGUCGAACGGUAACAGGCCGCAAGGUGCUGACGAGUGGCGAACGGGUGAGUAAUGCAUCGGAACGUGCCCAGUCGUGGGGGAUAACUACUCGAAAGAGUAGCUAAUACCGCAUACGACCUAUGGAUGAAAGCGGGGGACCGUAAGGCCUCGCGCGAUUGGAGCGGCCGAUGUCAGAUUAGGUAGUUGGUGGGGUAAAGGCUCACCAAGCCAACGAUCUGUAGCUGGUCUGAGAGGACGACCAGCCACACUGGGACUGAGACACGGCCCAGACUCCUACGGGAGGCAGCAGUGGGGAAUUUUGGACAAUGGGCGCAAGCCUGAUCCAGCAAUGCCGCGUGCAGGAAGAAGGCCUUCGGGUUGUAAACUGCUUUUGUACGGAACGAAACGGCUCUGGUUAAUACCCGGGGCUAAUGACGGUACCGUAAGAAUAAGCACCGGCUAACUACGUG